UAUCCAGAUAUGUCAAUGCCUCACAGCUGUGAAGCUGCCACUCCCUCCCAAACUCAUGGCACAGCACCCAGCCAUUCGGAAGAUUUGAGGCACAAACAUCAUCCAUUCAAAAACAUCUGGAAUGUCCUGGAGGAACACAAGAAGACCCUUUUGAGGAUAACAGAAUUCAUAAAGUACAUGCCAUGGAAGAGCACAUGGGGCCAAUGACAAGGAAGAUGGAGGUUAUGGAGAGGAAGUCCAUGACUUUGAAGGCUGCCAUGGCUUUGAACAUGCCACGACCUGCUGUUGGUCCAGUGCAGCAGAGAGCAUAAGCUGGUGGAGCUAGCCAGAAGCCUGGCUCAACCAGAAAUGAGAAACCAAAUGGUAAUUAUUUUGGCAUAAUUAUGUGAAUUAUGUGUUGCUGUAUAUAAUGUAUAAUGUACUGGUUUGGCUAAUGAAGAUAGACCACAUAAUGUUUUCCAUAUUAGUUUUCAUAUUUCAUUUUCAUCAUCUGCUUUAAUUUUUGUAGAC